AGGUGAAUGGAAUCGCGUUCCAUCCUGUUCAUGGCACCCUUGCAACUGUGGGAUCUGAUGGUAGAUUCAGCUUCUGGGACAAAGAUGCCAGAACAAAACUAAAAACUUCGGAACAGUUAGAUCAGCCCAUCUCAGCUUGCUGUUUCAAUCACAAUGGAAACAUAUUUGCGUACGCUUCCAGCUACGACUGGUCAAAGGCCUGCUGCUGCUUCUGUGUUUCCCUGUUUGAGGGUUUGCU
rnacentral:lncRNA from 1 species